rnacentral:lncRNA from 1 species
CAACCACCUGUCCUGCUUCUAGCCUAGCCCCCAAAGCAUCAUCCAGGACAGCAACCCAUGUGAGGAAGGACCAACUAUCUUUUGCAACGGUAGCCCUACUAUGACCCACAGGGUGAACAAGCUGGUCUGACUGAAACAUCAAGGCAGCUGCAAGCUUGAGUCUAAAGUCUAACUUCCUCAUUUUACAGAUGGGAAAGCUGUGGUCCAGGGAAGUUGAAGGACUUGCCCAAGUUCAAACAGCUGACACCAAUAGCUAACGGCCAGUUACUACGAGUUACAAAGCACAGACCUUGCCUUGGAGCAAAGGGCAAUGGGAUUUUAUCUCAGAAAUGUCAACACCAAGGCUCCUCGAGGGUGAGGAAUCAAAGGCUGAUCAUCCCAUUGGACCAGCAUUUUAACUAGAAACCCAGUCACACACUAAGGGAAUGAAAUGAUUGUGACAUUUUCAGGAAUUCAGUUGUAAAAGUGAGGGUGUGUGUGUGUGUGUUAGAUAUGUGAAAUAUGGCAUGUGCUUUUAGAUGGUCACUGUAUUAUUAGUUUUACUUAAUUGUUUUAUUACAAGAGACCACUCAUAGUGGAAGAGAUCUAUACAUUUGCAAUGUAAAAACACAUCAAUAAUACUUAAAAAAAAAAAGCAAUUAGGAGCAGUGGAUUAAGAUGGAGGCCCAGAGAUGGGAGGUCUUGAGUUCAAAUUCGGCCUCAGAUGCUUCUUAGCUGUGUGACCCUGGGCAAGUCACUUGACCCCCAUUGCCUAGCCCUUACUACUCUUUUGCCUUAGAACCAAUACACAAUAUUGACUCCAAAACGGAAGGUAGGGUUUAAAAAAAAAAUGUGAUUGCAGGCAGUUAAGUGGAUAGAGAGCCCGGUCUAGAAUUAGGAGGACCUGGGUUCAAAUUUGAUCCCAGAUACUUCCUAGCUACAUGACCCUGAGCAAGUCCUUUAACCGAGUUUGCCUAGUCCUUGCCCUUCUGUCUUAGAGUUGCUGCCAAGAGAGAAAGUAAGGGUUUAAAAAAAAAAGUAUAAAUUUAAUGUAAUUACAGUGUCAACCAGUGGGAUAUGAUUUCCUUUUCCUUAAAACCACCUUCCCAAUCUCCAAAAGUUAAAGAAUUUAAAGCUGUUUUAAUUCCUGGGUGACAAUCUGAAGGUUCUGAAUUUAGGAUUGUUGGAAAACUAAACCAAAGAUCCUGCUUUUAGUCAGCCUUUGACAGACAGUAUCUAGUUUCUUUUCUUUGUAUCUCUUUGGAAUUAUCUAAUACUUUGUGUUUUUCUCGGUAUCUUUUUCAAUGAAUGCCAUUGCCUUUUCCACUUCCAACUAAAUACAAUGUUUUCCAGUGGAGAAAAGCCAAUACCAUUAAAGAAAGAUUUAUUUAAAAAAAAAACCUAUUACACACAAAGCUUUAUA